GAUGAACGCUGGCGGCGUGCCUAAUACAUGCCAGUCGAGCGAACAGAUGAGGAGCUUGCUCCUCUGACGUUAGCGGCGGACGGGUGAGUAACACGUGGAUAACCUACCUAUAAGACUGGGAUAACUUCGGGAAACCGGAGCUAAUACCGGAUAAUAUAUUGAACCGCAUGGUUCAAUAGUGAAAGACGGUUUUGCUGUCACUUAUAGAUGGAUCCGCGCCGCAUUAGCUAGUUGGUAAGGUAACGGCUUACCAAGGCAACGAUGCGUAGCCGACCUGGGAGGGGGAUAGGCAGCAGGGGAGUGGGAACGGGGUCAAGGCUACUGCGGGAGGCACAAGAGGGGAAUUGUCGGCAAGGGGCGGAAGCCUGAGGCAGCAGGGCGGAGGGGGUGAAAAAGGUUUAGGGAUCGAAAACCCUGUUUUUGGGGGAAAAAAAGAUGUCGACGAAAAAAAACCGGUUUUGACGGGACUUAAUAAAAAAGCCACGGCUAACUACGUG
rnacentral:rRNA from 1 species